AGAGUUUGAUCAUGGCUCAGGACGAACACUGGCGGCACGCUUAACACAUGCAAGUCGAACGAGAGAAGAGGAGCUUGCUUUUCUGAUCUAGUGGCGGACGGGUGAGUAACACGUGAGCAAUCUGCCCUUCAGAGGGGGAUACCGAUUGGAAACGAUCGUUAAUACCGCAUAACAUAAUUGAACCGCAUGAUUUGAUUAUCAAAGAUUUAUCGCUGAAAGAUGAGCUCGCGUCUGAUUAGCUAGUUGGUAAGGUAACGGCUUACCAAGGCGACGAUCAGUAGCCGGACUGAGAGGUUGAUCGGCCACAUUGGGACUGAGACACGGCCCAGACUCCUACGGGAGGCAGCAGUGGGGAAUAUUGCACAAUGGAGGAAACUCUGAUGCAGCGAUGCCGCGUGAGGGAAGAAGGUUUUAGGAUUGUAAACCUCUGUCUUCAGGGACGAAAAAAGACGGUACCUGAGGAGGAAGCUCCGGCUAACUACGUGCCAGCAGCCGCGGUAAUACGUAGGGAGCGAGCGUUGUCCGGAAUUACUGGGUGUAAAGGGAGCGUAGGCGGGAUCGCAAGUCAGAUGUGAAAACUAUGGGCUUAACCCAUAAACUGCAUUUGAAACUGUGGUUCUUGAGUGAAGUAGAGGUAAGCGGAAUUCCUAGUGUAGCGGUGAAAUGCGUAGAUAUUAGGAGGAACAUCAGUGGCGAAGGCGGCUUACUGGGCUUUAACUGACGCUGAGGCUCGAAAGCGUGGGGAGCAAACAGGAUUAGAUACCCUGGUAGUCCACGCCGUAAACGAUGAUUACUUGGUGUGGGGGGACUGACCCCUUCCGUGCCGCAGCAAACGCAAUAAGUAAUCCACCUGGGGAGUACGACCGCAAGGUUGAAACUCAAAGGAAUUGACGGGGGCCCGCACAAGCAGUGGAGUAUGUGGAUUAAUUCGAAGCAACGCGAAGAACCUUACCAGGUCUUGACAUCGUAUGCAUAGCUCAGAGAUGAGUGAAAUCUCUUCGGAGACAUAUAGACAGGUGGUGCAUGGUUGUCGUCAGCUCGUGUCGUGAGAUGUUGGGUUAAGUCCCGCAACGAGCGCAACCCUUACUGUUAGUUGCUACGCAAGAGCACUCUAGCAGGACUGCCGUUGACAAAACGGAGGAAGGUGGGGAUGACGUCAAAUCAUCAUGCCCCUUAUGACCUGGGCCUCACACGUACUACAAUGGCUGUCAACAGAGGGAAGCAAAGCCGCGAGGUGGAGCGAACCCCUAAAAGCAGUCUUAGUUCGGAUUGUAGGCUGCAACCCGCCUACAUGAAGUCGGAAUUGCUAGUAAUCGCAGAUCAGCAUGCUGCGGUGAAUACGUUCCCGGGCCUUGUACACACCGCCCGUCACGCCAUGGGAGUCGGUAACACCCGAAGCCUGUAGUCUAACCGCAAGGAGGACGCAGUCGAAGGUGGGAUUGAUGACUGGGGUGAAGUCGUAACAAGGUA
rnacentral:rRNA from 1 species